GACGAACGCUGGCGGCGUGCCUAAUACAUGCAAGUUGAGCGAUGAAGAUUGGUGCUUGCACCAAUUUGAAGAGCAGCGAACGGGUGAGUAACGCGUGGGGAAUCUGCCUUUGAGCGGGGGACAACAUUUGGAAACGAAUGCUAAUACCGCAUAACAACUUUAAACAUAAGUUUUAAGUUUGAAAGAUGCAAUUGCAUCACUCAAAGAUGAUCCCGCGUUGUAUUAGCUAGUUGGUGAGGUAAAGGCUCACCAAGGCGAUGAUACAUAGCCGACCUGAGAGGGUGAUCGGCCACAUUGGGACUGAGACACGGCCCAAACUCCUACGGGAGGCAGCAGUAGGGAAUCUUCGGCAAUGGACGAAAGUCUGACCGAGCAACGCCGCGUGAGUGAAGAAGGUUUUCGGAUCGUAAAACUCUGUUGGUAGAAAAGAACGUUGGUGAGAGUGGAAAGCUCAUCAAGUGACGGUAACUACACAGAAAGGGACGGCUAACUACGUG
rnacentral:rRNA from 1 species